AAUACGGCGCAGUGCCUGGAAUUCGCCCUUAGAGUUGAUCCUGGCUCAGAACGUACGCUGGCGGCACGCCUAACACAUGCAAGUCGAACGAAGUAGCAAUACUUAGUGGCAGACGGGUGAGUAACAUGUAGGUAUCUACCCUUNUCCCUGGAAUAACCCGAGGAAACUUGUGCUAAUACCGGAUAAGUCUUUACAGAGAAAGCUUUAUGCACCAUUGGAUGAGCCUGCACUUGAUUAGUUUGUUGGUGGGGUAAUGGCCUACCAAGACUGUGAUCAAUAGCUGAUUUGAGAGGAUGAUCAGCCACAUUGGGACUGAGACACGGCCCAAACUCCUACGGGAGGCAGCAGUGGGGAAUCUUGCACAAUGGAGGAAACUCUGAUGCAGCGAUGCCGCGUGAGUGAAGAAGGCCCUUGGGUUGUAAAGCUCUUUCGUCGGGGAAGAAAAUGACUGUACCCGAAUAAGAAGGUCCGGCUAACUUCGUGCCAGCAGCCGCGGUAAUACGAAGGGACCUAGCGUAGUUCGGAAUUACUGGGCUUAAAGAGUUCGUAGGUGGUUGAAAAAGUUAGUGGUGAAAUCCCAGAGCUUAUCUCUGGAACUGCCAUUAAAACUUUUCAGCUAGAGUAUGAUAGAGGAAAGCAGAAU
rnacentral:rRNA from 1 species